CCUACGGGAGGCAGCAGUGAGGAAUAUUCGUCAAUGAGCGCGAGCCUGAACCAGCCAAGUAGCGUGAAGGAUGACUGCCCUACGGUUUGUAAGCUUCUUUUAUAAAGGAGUAAAGUGAGACACGGGUGCCUUUUUAUAUGUACUUUAUCAAUAAGGAUCGGGUAGCUCCGUGCCAUCAGCCGCGGUAAUGCGGAGGAUCCGUGCGGUAUCCGGAUUUAUUGGGUUUAAAGGGAGCGUAGAUGUGUUGUUAAGUCAGUUGUGAAAGUUUGCGGCUCAACCGUAAAAUUGCAAGUGAUACUGGCAGUCUUGAGUACAGUGGAGGUAGGCGGAAUUCGUGGUGUAGCGGUGAAAUGCGUAGAUAUCACGAAGAACACCGAGUGCGAAGGCAGCUUACUAAAUUGCUACUGACAUUGAGGCUCGAAAGUGUGGGUAGCAAACAGGAUUAGAUACCCCUGUAGUC
rnacentral:rRNA from 1 species